rnacentral:rRNA from 1 species
CGUAGGGUGCAAGCGUUGUCCGGAAUUAUUGGGCGUAAAGAGCUCGUAGGCGGUCUGUCGCGUCUGCUGUGAAAACUCAGGGCUUAACCCUGAGCUUGCAGUGGGUACGGGCAGACUAGAGUGCGGUAGGGGAGACUGGAAUUCCUGGUGUAGCGGUGAAAUGCGCAGAUAUCAGGAGGAACACCGGUGGCGAAGGCGGGUCUCUGGGCCGUAACUGACGCUGAGGAGCGAAAGCAUGGGGAGCGAACAGG